GGAGAAAUGGCUGAGUUGGUCGAAAGCGACUGAUUGCUAAUCAGUUGUGCGUUCUACGUACCGAGGGUUCGAAUCCCUCUUUCUCCG
rnacentral:tRNA from 1 species